GGCUCAGGACGAACGCUGGCGGCGUGCCUAACACAUGCAAGUCGAACGGAGAAUUUUAUUUCGGUAGAAUUCUUAGUGGCGAACGGGUGAGUAACGCGUAGGCAACCUACCCUUUAGACGGGGACAACAUUCCGAAAGGAGUGCUAAUACCGGAUGUGAUCAUCUUGCCGCAUGGCAGGAUGAAGAAAGAUGGCCUCUACAAGUAAGCUAUCGCUAAAGGAUGGGCCUGCGUCUGAUUAGCUAGUUGGUAGUGUAACGGACUACCAAGGCGAUGAUCAGUAGCCGGUCUGAGAGGAUGAACGGCCACAUUGGGACUGAGACACGGCCCAAACUCCUACGGAGGCAGCAGUGGGGAAUCUUCCGCAAUGGACGAAAGUCUGACGGAGCAACGCCGCGUGAGUGAUGAAGGAUUUCGGUCUGUAAAGCUCUGUUGUUUAUGACGAACGUGCAGUGUGUGAACAAUGCAUUGCAAUGACGGUAGUAAACGA
rnacentral:rRNA from 1 species